UAGCUCAGUUGGUGGAGCAUGAGACUCUAAAUCUCAGGGUUGUAAGUUCAAGCCCCAC
rnacentral:tRNA from 1 species